CCUACGGGAGGCAGCAGUGAGGAAUAUUGGUCAAUGGACGAGAGUCUGAACCAGCCAAGUAGCGUGAAGGAUGACUGCCCUAUGGGUUGUAAACUUCUUUUAUAUGGGAAUAAAAUGUUCCACGUGUGGGAUUUUGUAUGUACCAUAUGAAUAAGGAUCGGCUAACUACGUGUCAGCAGCCGCGGUCAUACGUAGGAUCCGAGCAUUAUCCGGAGUGACUGGGUGUAAAGAGUUGCGUAGGUGGCAUAAUAAGUAGCUAGUGAAAUCUGGUGGCUCAACCAUUCAGACUAUUAGCUAAACUGUUAAGCUCGAGACCGUUAGGGGCAUCUGGAAUUUCUAGUGUAGGAGUGAAAUCCGUAGAUAUUAGAAGGAACACCAAUAGCGUAGGCAGGAUGCUGGGACGGUUCUGACACUAAGGCACGAAAGCGUAGGGAGCAAACGGGAUUAGAUACCCCAGUAGUC
rnacentral:rRNA from 1 species